UACGAAGGUCCCAAGCGUUGUUCGGAAUCACUGGGCGUAAAGGGAGCGUAGGCGGCGUGGUAAGUCAGAUGUGAAAUCCCGGGGCUCAACCCCGGAACUGCAUCCGAUACUGCCAUGCUUGAGGGUUGGAGAGGUGACUGGAAUUCUCGGUGUAGCAGUGAAAUGCGUGGAUAUCGAGAGGAACACUCGUGGCGAAGGCGAGUCACUGGACAACAUCUGACGCUGAGGCUCGAAGGCUAGGGUAGCGAAAGGG
rnacentral:rRNA from 1 species